UUCACUCGCUCCAUUUUUCAAGCUUUUCUGGUGGGAUGUUAGAUGGAUUUUUGCCACCUCCGUCUUUUCCUUCCUCGGUUGUGCAUUUCAUUUCUAUUUUUCACCUUUUCUUUUAUCUUUUUCUCUUGAGGCUAACUUUUCCAUUUGGUUUGGCCUUUUUUCUACCUGAUCUAACCCUUACAAAUGGCUUUCACUAGAUUUGAUUAGAUUUCGAUUUGCUUUGAGUUGACAAAGGUGGUUGUUAACAAGGGGCUAAAAGGGACUACAGAGUUUGUCGAGGACAUUAUAGAUCAUCAGCCGAACAGCACAAAGCACACCCACAGACUGUACAUGUCCACACUGGCUCUAUCUCUCCACGGGACAGCUGCUCUCUACAGGGGCUAUCUCACCGUUCAACACAGACAGAGACAUCACAACACAGAUACAGGUCACACUGUAAAUGCCACUGAGAUGAAAAAGCAGACAGCAUCACGUCAUAAAUCUCACCUCACCAGAUACAUGCAAUGAAAUAUGGAAAUGCUAGUAUCAUGGCUCCAUCUAAACAUAAAGGGAGUAGCAAAUUAUCAUAUACAUGGACAUCAUAUGGCUAUUGUUUUGGAAGAAGAGUGAGAUAAAGCAACGAAACAAACAUUUUUGGACAAUUUUAACUACGUAAUAAGUGUUAAAAGGGUUAAAUACGCAUCAUAAGGGUUAAAUAUACACUAUAUCCUUCAAAGGUUUGGGCACAGUAGGGUUUUUUUUAAGUGUCUUAUGCUCAUCAAGGCUGCAUUUAUUUGAUUAAAAAAAAUAUACAUUAAAAAAAAAAAAAAAAAAAAGAAUUUUCAGCGUCAUUAUUCCAAUCUUCAGUGUAACAUGAUCCUUCAAAUCAUUUUAAUAUGCCGAUUUGCUGCUCAAGAAACAUUUAUUUUUUCAGUUGUGGUGCUUAAUAUUUUUGUGGAUUCUUUUCAGGAUUCUUUAGCCCUAUUUGGACACGACAAGUUUUCAUGGAGGACGUUACAAAGAAAUUCGUGCUUCACAGACGUACUUUACGAUUUUAAUCCCGUCCGAAUCUGCCAUGUCUGUGUUUUUCUUACACAACCUCAGUAAAA